rnacentral:rRNA from 1 species
CAAGGAGUUUUCCGCAAUGGGCGAAAGCCUGACGGAGCAACGCCGCGUGGGGGAUGACACCUUUCGGGGCGUAAACCCCUUUUCUUGGGGACGAAGCAGUGACGGUACCCGAGGAAGAAGGCCCGGCUAACUACGUGCCAGCAGCCGCGGUAAUACGUAGGGGCCGAGCGUUGUCCGGAGUUACUGGGCGUAAAGCGCGCGCAGGCGGCUCGUCAAGCCUGACGUGAAAGCCCCCGGCUCAACCGGGGAGGGUCGUCGGGGACUGGCGGGCUUGAGGUCGGCAGGGGCUGGUGGAAUUCCCGGUGUAGUGGUGAAAUGCGUAGAGAUCGGGAGGAACACCCGUGGCGAAGGCGGCCAGCUGGGCCGGACCUGACGCUGAGGCGCGAAGGCGUGGGGAGCGAACGGGAUUAGAUACCCGGUAGUCCACGCAGUAAACGAUGCAGACUAGGCGUGGGGGACUUGACCCCCUCCGUGCCGAGCCAACGCGUGAAGUCUGCCGCCUGGGAGUACGGCCGC